rnacentral:lncRNA from 1 species
GGGGAUUCCUCUCUUCAGGAACCUCUGCAGAUGCAGCCCCCUCGAAAGAGAUCUCACCUUGGGUCCCCAACGCCACCAGGGGGGUGCUGCUCCUAUAGUUGCCUUUCCAGUCCUAAGGUCCCUUUUCUGUCUUUUUCCAGAUAGAACAAGGUCCAUCCUGGGCCUCAUUUUCUUCAUCUGUAAUGUGAGGAAGAAAGAAGAGAGAGGCUGAGGAUGAACCUCUCUGACUUCAUUGUUUCAUCCUGGGAAUGCUGAGUGACCAGUCCCCUUCAGCCACAAGCUAUAGUCAAAGUUCCUGAGAGAAGCAAAGUUGCUGCGAUGUGUGAUGUUACCCUCCUGUAAAUGACAGAAUCCUGUUCAGAGGCAGCACCCCGCAGGAGUUAGCACCGCGCAGACGUGAUGCAGCAUUAUAACGAUGCCCUACUUACCAGUUCCUGUUUUUUAUGACUGAAUGGGUUCAUGAAAAGGAAGCAGAACCAUUUCCUUUAAGGCAAGGCUUUGUGCUUUGUGGACAGAGCUGGUCUGACUGCGGGCAUAAUGGGAAGCCAGAGGAAGCCCUGACUCUCUGGUGACUGGAACCCUGGUGGUCAAGAAGGACCAGGGAGAAAACUGACACUAGGCAGAACAGCACUGCGCCAAGGGAACUCCUGGGGGACAGGGCUCUGCUAACUCCCCCGCCCCUGGGCCCUGACAUCUGAUAGGCUCAGUGUGUUUGGGGGGGGGGGGUGUCGCGGGGCCUUGGAAAGAAUUUGACCAAUCCCCUGGCUCUAGAACUUGCCGACCGGCCCAGUUAGUGCUAGAAAUGUCCAGUUCGGGAACAGAUCUCAGAAUUGGAAAACGUCCCUGUCCCACCCAGAGUCAGUACAGGAAGAGGAAUCUAGGAGCCUGUCAGUCUCUGGUUUUGCCUAACUAGCGCUGAG